GACGAACGCUGGCGGCGUGCUUAACACAUGCAAGUCGAACGGAAAGGCCCUGCUUUUGUGGGGUGCUCGAGUGGCGAACGGGUGAGUAACACGUGAGUAACCUGCCCUUGACUUUGGGAUAACUUCAGGAAACUGGGGCUAAUACCGGAUAGGAGCUCCUGCUGCAUGGUGGGGGUUGGAAAGUUUCGGCGGUUGGGGAUGGACUCGCGGCUUAUCAGCUUGUUGGUGGGGUAGUGGCUUACCAAGGCUUUGACGGGUAGCCGGCCUGAGAGGGUGACCGGCCACAUUGGGACUGAGAUACGGCCCAGACUCCUACGGGAGGCAGUAGUGGGGAAUAUUGCACAAUGGGCGGAAGCCUGAUGCAGCAACGCCGCGUGCGGGAUGACGGCCUUCGGGUUGUAAACCGCUUUCGCCUGUGACGAAGCGUGAGUGACGGUAAUGGGUAAAGAAGCACCGGCUAACUACGU
rnacentral:rRNA from 1 species